rnacentral:rRNA from 1 species
UACGUAGGUGGCGAGCGUUGUCCGGAAUUACUGGGUGUAAAGCGCGUGUAGGCGGGAGGCCAAGUCUGCGGUGAAAUCGCUCGGCUCAACUGGGCGGGGUCCGUGGAAACUGGUCACCUGGAGGACGGUAGAGGCGAGUGGAAUUCCCGGUGUAGUGGUGAAAUGCGUAGAUAUCUGGAGGAACACCGGUGGCGAAGGCGGCAUCCUGGACCGGCAUUGACGCUGAGGCGCGAAAGCCAGGGGAGCAAACGGG